UGGAAUGAGAUGCACAAAGGGGUCUCUGUACCACCUCAGCUCUGUUACUUCUUUUCGUAUAGUUGAUGCAUGAUGGAAGCAGGCUAUCUGGGCUGAGAAAUCUCCCUUAGAGAGAAGAACAAAGGAGAAAACAGAAGGUGAGACAGAGAAUCUAUUGCUCUGUGGUCCCAGCCUCCCCAAAGAAAGAUGCCCACGCACAUGACAAGAGCGCUAGAAGGUUCUGGGAGCUCGAGGAGCUUGUUGCAGCCCGAGAAAUCUCAGCGAGGAACUCUCAGCCACUGAAGAGGACCCCUGAAGGCUUUUGAGGCCAAGCUUGCCUGAAGUCCCAGAGCCAGAAUACCUGGGUAUGCCUGAGCUGGAAGGGACACACCGGCCCUCAAGCCCAAAGAGGUCAGAUGGGGAAACAGAGGCCCAGGGAGCUUGCACACCUGAUGAGUGACUGAGCUGGGAUUUGAACCCAGGCUCCAGAAGGAAGGGUGGCACGCUGUUCUGAACACGGAAGGAAUGGACAGGCGAGGCGGCUCACCCUGGCAGCCAGAGCAAGGGAAGCUGUGCGUUGGAGACCCACACAGGUCCGGGGGAGGUUCAGGGCUUAGUGUGGAGCCUGCAGAGAACUUGCUUCCCAGGCUGGAAUGGGGGAGCCCCUGGGAAAGCAGUGGGGGCUCCGCCCACGUGGUGAAGAGGGUGGGGGUCUGGUGGGAAGCCUCCAUUGUCUGGGAUAACUCGACACCUGCACGAGAUCAAACAGAGGCUGGGUGCACAGAGAACAGCGUUGUCCUCUGGCUUCUCCAGGCUCCCCUCGCCGUGCUGUCCCAUUGCCCCCCCCCUCGACAGGGCUCUGACGCACUUGGCUUCCUCAGACAGGAUUGUUCUUCUCCCCCUGCCCCUCCACCACUCCCCUCCACCCUGAGCCUCGCCUUGCCCCGCCAUGCCAUUCCCUUCCUGCAUAUCCCAUCCCAACCUGUCCUUCACCUUCCGCCGUGUGCCUCCCCACCCGAGUCAGCUCCCUCUGCCGCACAUUCUCGGCCUGUCCUGUAUGCCUCGCUUGUAGCUCUUUAGCUCACCUGCAAUUAAAUGUUUCAUUGCGCACUGGCAAGUUUUUAAAUAGCUUUAUUGACCUGUGCAUGUUCAAAGUGUAAAAUUCGAUAACUUUUGAUGUACAUUUUCACUCAUUCAACCAUCACCGCAAUCAAGAGAAUGAGCACCCCUGUCUCCUCUAAACAGUUACCCUAUGAUCCCCUGUAUUUCCUCCCCACCUCCCACCCCUUUCCCCCAUCUGGCCGUCAACU